rnacentral:rRNA from 1 species
UACGGAGGGUGCAAGCGUUAAUCGGAUUUAUUGGGCGUAAAGGGCGUGUAGGCGGGAAGUUAAGUCAGAUGUGAAAUCCCGGGGCUCAACCUCGGAACUGCAUAUGAGACUGGCUUUCUUGAGGAUAGGCGGAGAAAAUGGAAUUCCACAAGUAGCGGUGAAAUGCGUAGAUAUGUGGAAGAACACCUGUGGCGAAGGCGAUUUUCUAGCUUAGACCUGACGCUGAGGCGCGAAAGCAAGGGGAGCAAACAGG